rnacentral:snoRNA from 1 species
UGCAUCCUCGUGAUGAAGUAUUGCGGACGUAAAUGAGCAUAGCUCAACAUUCCAAGAGCGCAUAACAAUCGUGUGGACGUUUCCGCUGCCUUCCUUCUGACCACCUUA